rnacentral:tRNA from 1 species
GGGCGUUUAGCUCAGUUGGACAGAGCAUCUGGCUACGAACCAGGGGGGCGGAGGUUCAAGUCCUCCAUCGCUCA